UAGCAUGCUGCCCUUGGUCCCUUUCUCUAGUCUCGGUGGACUACUUCACAGCAUGGCAGCUGGAAUUAUCCAGUGAAUGAGCAAGAAGAGCCAGAGACACCGGGAGCAAGAUACUGGGAGUGCUGCAGAAUAGAAGACAAUUCCUGUUUUAAGUGCAUUAAGGAUGUGCGCUGCCCUAGGAGGCCAACAAGCCAGCUGCAAGCAGGAAAAUCCGAGAAAACACAAGCCCUUAUCAAAGCCUCAUGGCUGCCAUGGCUGUGGGGCUCUUGGAGAUCGAGGACUUACUGUAAAGCACAGGCCAGUGCUGCUGGGUUCCAUCACGUGUUCUCCUUCUUUGUAUUAUUGACCAUGAAGACAGUUGUGACAUUCCAGCUCCAUUAGUACCUGGUGCAUUACUUUCUAGCUUUGCUUGGGAGGACGGAGAUGGAAUGGAGAUUACAGAGGAGAGGUGUUUGGUCAGAACGUUGGGACUGAGGCGC